CGUCAGACAAAUUGAAGAUCUAAGGGACUUCUUUUGAAGGAAGUCCCAUGAUGAAUUUUCAAGUCCCAGCUCCUCAGAUUGUAACCUUAUCUGAGUCAGGGCAUUUGAAGAAGCAAUCAGGAGAAGUCCAUCAUUGUGGGUCUGGGAUCCAGUGGCCACAAGCUGUGUUGAGUGGCACUCAUUUCCUCCAGAAGCCCAUUUCUUACUUGGUCAUCCCUCGAAGUCCACGAUCGUAACGUGCCUUUCCCUACCCACCCCUCAGCCCCUCACCUCCUUCAGAGAGGCCUGCCCACUGCCUCAUGACUGUUGAUGACCGUGCUUCCCUCUGUCCAUAUCUGUUCACACUGUUCUCCCCUCGACCGUGCCAUCCUCCUCCACUUCUGCACAAGCAUUGUUCGGGGAUUUUAGAACUUGGCUGCAUAUCAGAACCGCUAUGGGACCUAAAAAAAA